CACACAAAAUGGGCAGAUUACUGGCUACAAGAUUCGCUACCGAAAGGCCUCCCGAAAGAGUGAUGUCACUGAGACCUUGGUAAGCGGGACACAGCUGUCUCAGCUGAUUGAAGGUCUUGAUCGGGGGACUGAGUAUAAUUUCCGAGUGGCUGCUCUAACAAUCAAUGGUACAGGCCCGGCAACUGACUGGCUGUCUGCUGAAACUUUUGAAAGUGACCUAGAUGGUAAGAAUAACAAUUGGCAAGACUGGAACACAAUAGAUACUAGCUGUAGUCAAAUGAGUCAAACUGGAAAGCCACAGACUUGGGGUGGAUAUGGCUCAAGUCUGUGAACUUUAGUGCAUCACGCUGCUGUUGUUCCUGUAUUGCAUCGAGGCUGCUGGAAUGGAUUUUUUGCAGUGCCUUGUAGAGAACUGUCCUUUCAAGCAGAACUAGAGCAAAUAAAAAUGUGUAUGUGCUA
rnacentral:lncRNA from 1 species